rnacentral:rRNA from 1 species
GAUGAACGCUGGCGGCGUGCCUAAUACAUGCAAGUCGAGCGAACAGAUAAGGAGCUUGCUCCUUUGACGUUAGCGGCGGACGGGUGAGUAACACGUGGGUAACCUACCUAUAAGACUGGGAUAACUUCGGGAAACCGGAGCUAAUACCGGAUAACAUUUGGAACCGCAUGGUUCUAAAGUGAAAGAUGGUUUUGCUAUCACUUAUAGAUGGACCCGCGCCGUAUUAGCUAGUUGGUAAGGUAACGGCUUACCAAGGCGACGAUACGUAGCCGACCUGAGAGGGUGAUCGGCCACACUGGAACUGAGACACGGUCCAGACUCCUACGGGAGGCAGCUGUAGGGAAUCUUCCGCAAUAGGCGAAAGCCUGACGGAGCAACGCCGCGUGAGUGAUGAAGGGUUUCGGCUCGUAAAACUCUGUUAUUAGGGAAGAACAAAUGUGUAAGUAACUGUGCACGUCUUGACGGUACCUAAUCAGAAAGCCACGGCUAACUACGUG